GAGGUUGUGCCCUUGAGGCGUGGCUUCCGGAGCUAACGCGUUAAGUCGACCGCCUGGGGAGUACGGCCGCAAGGUUAAAACUCAAAUGAAUUGACGGGGGCCCGCACAAGCGGUGGAGCAUGUGGUUUAAUUCGAUGCAACGCGAAGAACCUUACCUGGUCUUGACAUCCACAGAACUUGGCAGAGAUGCCUUGGUGCCUUCGGGAACUGUGAGACAGGUGCUGCAUGGCUGUCGUCAGCUCGUGUUGUGAAAUGUUGGGUUAAGUCCCGCAACGAGCGCAACCCUUAUCCUUUGUUGCCAGCGGUUAGGCCGGGAACUCAAAGGAGACUGCCAGUGAUAAAUCUGGAGGAAGGUGGGGAUGACGUCAAGUCAUCAUGGCCCUUACGACCAGGGCUACACACGUGCUACAAUGGCGCAUACAAAGAGAAGCGAACUCGNCGAGAGCAAGCGGACCUCAUAAAGUGCGU
rnacentral:rRNA from 1 species